GAAACUAAAAAGGAUUCCCUUAGUAAUGGCGAAUGAACAGGGAUGAGCUCAAUAUGGAAAUUGUGGCUUCUGGCUUUGAAUUGUAAUCUCAAGAUGCAUUGCUAACUGGGGCGUAGGUGAAAGCCUCUUGGAAAAGAGAAUCAUUGAGGGUGAGAAUCCUGUUUGUCAUCUACAGUCCUCCGUGUACGGCAUGCGUUCUAAGAGUCACGUUCCUCGGGAUUGGAGCGCAAACUGGGUGGUAAAUUUCAUCUUAAGCUAAAUAAGGGUUCGAGACCGAUAGCAAACAAGUACCAUGAGGGAAAGAUGAAAAGGACUUUGAAAAGAGAGUUAAAAGUGCCUGAACUUGCUGAAAGGAAAGCGGAUGGAACCAGUGUUGCUUGGCGAGAUUGUUGCGUGCGAAAGUGAUUGCUUGCUGCAUCAACGCAAGCGGUGCUGUGGGUUUUGAUCUGGCUGUGCGCGAUGCUUCUUGCCUCGUGUGUCAUCGUCAGUGUGCUGGUGAGGACAACUCUUGGGACAUGGUAGCCUGCCCCUGGGCGUGCGAAUGUGCCUUGCAGAACUCACUGUCAUAUUGCUCCUCCACAUGUGAGGUCGUGCUGCCUUUCUUUGGCACCUGUGUUGGCGUUUGUGCCUGGCCUAGGUGUCGUUUGCUGAGCACCUUCCUGACAUAGCCAUGGUGACUAAAUGGUUCUAUUCGACCCGUCUUGAAACACGGACCAAGGAGUCUAACAUGUGUGCGAGUUCUUGGGCGGCGAAACCUACGUGCGCAAUGAAAGUGAUUACUGAGAUGCUAGCAUCAGCAGCCGACCGAUCAAUUGGGAGAGGUUUGAGCAUGAGCAUAUCUGUUAGGACCCGAAAGAUGGUGAACUAUGCUUGUGAAGGGUGAAGUCUGGGGAAACUCAGAUGGAGGCUCGUAGCGAUACUGACGUGCAAAUCGUUCGUCAUACAUGGGUAUAGGGGCGAAAGACUAAUCGAACCAUCUAGUAGCUGGUUCCC
rnacentral:rRNA from 1 species